UAAGCCAUGCAAGUCGAACGAGUUUAGGCUCGUGGCGUACGGCUCAGUAACACGUGGAUAACCUACCCUUAGGACCGGGAUAACCUUGGGAAACUGAGGAUAAUACUGGAUAGGCAAUUAUUCUUGCAAUGGUUUUUUGUUUAAAUGUUUUUUCGCCUAAGGAUGGGUCUGCGGCCGAUUAGGUAGUUGGUUAGGUAAUGGCUUACCAAGCCGUUGAUCGGUACGGGUUGUGAGAGCAAGAGCCCGGAGAUGGAACCUGAGACAAGGUUCCAGGCCCUACGGGGUGCAGCAGGCGCGAAACCUCCGCAAUGUGAGAAAUCGCGACGGGGGGAUCCCAAGUGCCAUUCUUAACGGGAUGGCUUUUCAUUAGUGUAAAGAGCUUUUGGAAUAAGGGCUGGGCAAGACCGGUGCCAGCCGCCGCGGUAACACCGGCAGCUCUAGUGGUAGCAGUUUUUAUUGGGCCUAAAGCGUCCGUAGCCGGUUUAAUAAGUCUCUGGUGAAAUCCUGUAGCUUAACUGUGGGAAUUGCUGGAGAUACUAUUAGACUUGAGACCGGGAGAGGUUAGAGGUACUCCCAGGGUAGAGGUGAAAUUCUGUAAUCCUGGGAGGACCGCCUGUUGCGAAGGCGUCUAACUGGAACGGUUCUGACGGUGAGGGACGAAAGUUAGGGGCGCGAACCGGAUUAGAUACCCGGGUAGUCCUAACUGUAAACGAUGCGGACUUGGUGUUGGGGUGGCUUUGAGCUGCUCCAGUGCCGAAGGGAAGCUGUUAAGUCCGCCGCCUGGGAAGUACGGUCGCAAGACUGAAACUUAAAGGAAUUGGCGGGGGAGCACCACAACGCGUGGAGCCUGCGGUUUAAUUGGAUUCAACGCCGGACAUCUCACCAGAGGCGACAGCUGUAUGAUAGCCAGGUUGAUGACUUUGCUUGACUAGCUGAGAGGAGGUGCAUGGCC
rnacentral:rRNA from 1 species